rnacentral:rRNA from 1 species
UACGUAGGGUGCAAGCGUUGUCCGGAAUUAUUGGGCGUAAAGAGCUCGUAGGCGGUUUGUCGCGUCUGCUGUGAAAACUCGGGGCUUAACCCCGGGCCUGCAGUGGGUACGGGCAGACUAGAGUGCGGUAGGGGAGACUGGAAUUCCUGGUGUAGCGGUGAAAUGCGCAGAUAUCAGGAGGAACACCGGUGGCGAAGGCGGGUCUCUGGGCCGUAACUGACGC